rnacentral:rRNA from 1 species
UACGUAGGGGGCAAGCGUUACCCGGAUUUACUGGGUGUAAAGGGGGCGCAGACGGCGAUGCAAGCCAGGAGUGAAAGCCCGGGGCCCAACCCCGGGACUGCUCUUGGAACUGCGUGGCUGGAGUGCAGGAGGGGCAGGCGGAAUUCCUGGUGUAGCGGUGAAAUGCGUAGAUAUCAGGAGGAACACCGGUGGCGAAGGCGGCCUGCUGGACUGCAACUGACGUUGAGGCCCGAAAGCGUGGGGAGCAAACAGG